CGGCCGGACAAGUCCGUUGGGAAAUCCACGUGCCUAACGCGUGGGCGUCCAGCGGAAACUGUCCGGCUUGGGGCCGGAAGACCCGAGGGGUACGUCCGGGGUAGGAGUGAAAUCCCGUAAUCCUGGACGGACCGCCGGUGGCGAAAGCGCCUCGGGAGGACGGACCCGACGGUGAGGGACGAAAGCCAGGGUCUCGAACCGGAUUAGAUACCCGGGUAGUCCUGGCCGUAAACGAUGUCCGCUAGGUGUGGCGCAGGCUACGAGCCUGCGCUGUGCCGUAGGGAAGCCGUGAAGCGGACCGCCUGGGAA
rnacentral:rRNA from 1 species